CCAGAAAGGGAGUGGGGCAAAAAAAACAACACUGAGGAGUGUCUGUCUGUGACACGGCUAUCCCUGUUCGUGUGAGGAUGUCGGUCUCUCGUCUCAGGGUGAAGACCCUGUUCUUCUUGUUCUUCAUACUCAACAUGACCUCCCCCUUUAGGCCCAUAAUACUUGUUGUAUCCCUGGCUGUUGCUGUGGUGGUGGUGGUGGUGGUAGGAGCUGCCAUACUCCUGUUCUCCAGGUUCAGAAGACACAAUAGACCAGUCAUCUGGAACAUGAGGCAUGCUCAAUCCAACUCAGGUCAGGUG